rnacentral:rRNA from 1 species
AGUUGAUCCUGCACAGGACACGCUGGCGGCGUGCUUAACACAUGCAAGUCGAACGCUGAAGCCCCAGCUUGCUGGGGUGGAUGAGUGGCGAACGGGUGAGUAACACGUGAGUAACCUGCCCAUCACUCUGGGAUAAGCGCUGGAAACGGCGUCUAAUACUGGAUACGAGCAGCGACCGCAUGGUCAGUUGCUGGAAAGACUGGUUCGGUGAUGGAUGGACUCGCGGCCUAUCAGCUUGUUGGUGAGGUAAUGGCUCACCAAGGCGACGACGGGUAGCCGGCCUGAGAGGGUGACCGGCCACACUGGGACUGAGACACGGCCCAGACUUCUACGGGAGGCAGCAGUGGGGAAUAUUGCACAAUGGGCGCAAGCCUGAUGCAGCAACGCCGCGUGAGGGAUGACGGCCUUCGGGUUGUAAACCUCUUUUAGUAGGGAAGAAGCCUUCGGGUGACGGUACCUGCAGAAAAAGCACCGGCUAACUACGUG